GAUGAACGCUGGCGGCGUGCCUAAUACAUGCAAGUCGAGCGAACGGACGAGAAGCUUGCUUCUCUGAUGUUAGCGGCGGACGGGUGAGUAACACGUGGAUAACCUACCUAUAAGACUGGGAUAACUUCGGGAAACCGGAGCUAAUACCGGAUGAUAUUUUGAACCGCAUGGUUCAAAAGUGAAAGACGGUCUUGCUGUCACUUAUAGAUGGAUCCGCGCUGCAUUAGCUAGUUGGUAAGGUAACGGCUUACCAAGGCAACGAUGCAUAGCCGACCUGAGAGGGGGAAUCGCCACCACGGAACCUAGACCCCGGUCCAAAUUCCUACGGAGGCCGGCGGAGGGAAUCUUUCCGAAUGGGGGGAAGCCUUACGGGGCAACCGCGGGUUAGGUAUUAAGGUUCUCCGAUCGGUAAACCUCUGUAUUAGGGAAGAACAUAUGUGUAAGUAACUGUGCACAUCUUGACGGUACCUAAUCAGAAAGCCACGGCUAACUACGUG
rnacentral:rRNA from 1 species